rnacentral:rRNA from 1 species
UACGUAGGGUGCGAGCGUUAAUCGGAAUUACUGGGCGUAAAGGGCGCGUAGGCGGCCUACUAAGUCAGACGUGAAAUCCCCCGGCUUAACCUGGGAACUGCGUCUGAUACUGGAAGGCUUGAGGAUGGGAGAGGGAUGUAGAAUUCCAGGUGUAGCGGUGAAAUGCGUAGAUAUCUGGAGGAAUACCGGUGGCGAAGGCGGCAUCCUGGACCAUUACUGACGCUGAGGCGCGAAAGCCAGGGGAGCAAACGGG